GGACAGAUCCUUUUUCCUAACUUAGAGAAAGAUUGGUCUGACUCCCAAGAACAUGCAAUCACCCGUGCUGAGUCCAUCAGCCCUGGAGCAACUCUUCCAAAAUAGACUGGGAUCUGCAGGUGUUGCUGGAAGAGGGAUGGGCACUGACAUGGUGAUUAAACCAAGCGUGAAGAUCUUAGAAGGGCUGAAAAUUCCAACAGACCUCAGUUUGAUUCCUGGCUCCACUGGGGGCAGGCUCAUGAUCAUCUCUAAUUUUUGCUCUCUUCUGUAAAGUCAAGAUCAUACUACUAAUCCCAUUGGGCUUGGGGGAGGAUUCAAUAACAUUUAAGGAGCACACUUCUUCCAGAUGGGAACUAUUAAAUGUAAAAGCCUUUUCUUCCGGCUCGCCCUACUCACCUUCAUCCUGCCUUCUGGCUGUUCCCGUGCUUGGAGCAAGUGCUUCUCAAACUUUUGGGAGAUGAGGACCAGGUAAAGGUCACCCGUUGGCAGACUGCCCUUUUAGGAGUACUGGUUAAGGGUAAGCUGCAAUGUGAGAAGACAGACUUGAAUAAAAUGUAUGAGAGAGUAUUGUCAGCUCUGAAGCUUAAUAACAGGUAGCUCUGGGUGGUGGUGUUGCCUCUUCGUGGACACCAGUAUUGCUCCCACAUGAUCUUAAAGAUGAACUCAAACCCCACCUUCUCUGUGCUGUCUUCUUACACUCCCUCAAGCGCUGUGUUGUUCUUCCCUGUGCCUCGCAUGGUAUCAGAAGGUCUACGUUGCUACUCCCAUGCAUAGUCUACUCCCAUGAAUGGGAGUCUCUCUUCCUCAGCUGCCACGAUUUUUAUUCUCUUUCUGUGGAUAGAAGCAAAUGGAUGGGUCAGUAUGAGCCUGUCUAGAGAUUUCUGUUGAUAGAUCCUUUAAGAAGGAAAAAAUAGAAGUGGAUGGAACUAGAGGGUAUUAUGCUCA